rnacentral:rRNA from 1 species
GGUUGCGACCAUGUCACGAUGACAGCACGCCAUAUCGUCCGAGCUGGCAAGUUUGGCAACGUUGGGCAUGGUUAGUGUCUGGAUCGAAGACGGUUUGGAGAAUUCGGGUACCGUGAGAC